rnacentral:rRNA from 1 species
AUUGAACGCUGGCGGCAUGCUUUGCACAUGCAAGUCGAACGGUAACAGGUUAAGCUGACGAGUGGCGAACGGGUGAGUAAUGCAUCGGAACGUGCCCGGUCGUGGGGGAUAACGCAGCGAAAGCUGCGCUAAUACCGCAUACGAUCUGAGGAUGAAAGCGGGGGACCGUAAGGCCUCGCGCGAUCGGAGCGGCCGAUGUCAGAUUAGGUAGUUGGUGGGGUAAAGGCUCACCAAGCCGACGAUCUGUAGUUGGUCUGAGAGGACGACCAGCCACACUGGGACUGAGACACGGCCCAGACUCCUACGGGAGGCAGCAGUGGGGAAUUUUGGACAAUGGGCGCAAGCCUGAUCCAGCAAUGCCGCGUGCAGGAAGAAGGCCUUCGGGUUGUAAACUGCUUUUGUACGGAGCGAAAAGGCUCUCUCUAAUACAGGGGGCUCAUGACGGUACCGUAAGAAUAAGCACCGGCUAACUACGUGCCAGCCGCCGCAGUAAAAC